AACAUUGCGCAGAGGCAAUAUCGUAACCAAUGAGGUUAAUCCGAGGUGCGAUUAUUGCUGGUUGAAAACUUUACCAAUACGCCGCCAAGUGGACGUGAAAUAACGUCCGCUACGGCAAUUUGUGUACAGCUGUUGAGGCCACAGA
rfam:Operophtera brumata OBRT01_Sc02944, whole genome shotgun sequence.